AUACGGAGGAUGCGAGCGUUAUCCGGAUUUAUUGGGUUUAAAGGGAGCGUAGGUGGGAUAUUAAGUCAGCUGUGAAAGUUUGGGGCUCAACCUUAAAAUUGCAGUUGAUACUGGUUUCCUUGAGUACGGUACAGGUGGGCGGAAUUCGUGGUGUAGCGGUGAAUGCUUAGAUAUCACGAAGAACUCCGAUCGCGAAGGCAGCUCACCGGGCCGGAACUGACACUGAUGCUCGAAAGUGCGGGUAUCAAACAGGAUUAGAUACCCUGGUAGUCCGCACAGUAAACGAUGAAUACUCGCUGUUUGCGAUACACUGUAAGCGGCCAAGCGAAAGCGUUAAGUAUUCCACCUGGGGAGUACGCCGGCAACGGUGAAACUCAAAUGAAUUGACGGGG
rnacentral:rRNA from 1 species